rnacentral:rRNA from 1 species
AAUUGAUAUUCCACGAAUAAAUUUACUUAAUUUAUAAUUUUGUAUAUCGUUGUUAUAAAAAUAUUUUUUAAUAAAGUUAAUAUUUAAAAAUUAAUAUUUGAAUUUAAAUCAGAUCAAGAUGCAGAUUAUAAUUAAGAAUGUAAUGGAUUACAAUAAAUUUAUUUAAAUGGAUUUUAAUUUGAAAGAAUUAAUUAAAAGUGGAUUUAAAUGUAAUUUUGUUUAAUUUAAUAAAAUGAUUAAAAAUUAAAAUAUGU